GCUUGCAGUAGGGGGAGAUCGUGAACGUCAGGUCUCCCCAGUAUGAAAAUGUGAUGCAAGGGAUUUUGCCAUCGACAGCCAUCAAUACCGUUAAGCCCUGCACAACUAACGCGCUGUUUCCCAUUUAACAACAGUGAGUCUUCUUCAUGGUCUUGGUUAGCAGAGAUGAUGAUAGGGGGAGAUUGCGAACGUCAGGUCUCCCCAGUAUGAAAAUGUGAUGCAAGGGAUUUUACCAUCGACAGCCAUCAACAUCAUCAAGCCCUGCACAACUAACGGGCUGUUUCCUAUUUAACAACAGCAGAUAAUAAGUAAUGCUCAACUGGGACCACAGGGUGGGGUGAUUUAUUUGGAUAAAACACAACGCAAGUAGAGUACGACUAACAUCUGUUACAUUUGUAUGCAUGUGUCUGUGCCGAUGUUGCUUCAAAGUCCCCACUGUACCAUAAGGUGUCCUUUUUUUCCCGUUUUUAAAUCAAAUUUUACUGCUUGGAUGAGUUACUUGAUUCCAUUUAGUCAUGGCUCUGUCUAUGUAGUACUGUGCGCCUCCCAUAGUCUGUUCUAGACUUGGGGGCUGUGUAGAGACCUCUGGUGGCAUCAAAUAAAAUGUUAUUGGUCACAUA